GUGCCAGCCGCCGCGGUAAUACGUGAGGGGCGAACGUUGUUCGGUGUCACUGGGCUUAAAGGGCGCGUAGGUGGCUGUGCAAGUAAGGUGUGAAAGCCCUCGGCUUACCCGGGGAAUUGCGCCUUAAACUGCAUGGCUUGAGGAUUUCAGGGGAAAGGGGAACUCCAGGUGUAGCGGUGAAAUGCGCAGAUAUCUGGGGGAAGGCCGGCGGCGAAGGCGCCUUUCUGGGAAAUUCCUGACACUGAGGCGCGAAAGCGUGGGGAGCAAACAGGAUUAGAUACCCUGGUAGUCCACGCCCUAAACGAUGGAUACUAAGUAGGGGACCCUGCAAGGGGUUCCUUGCCGGAGCAAAAGCGUUAAGUAUCCCGCCUGGGGAGUAUGGUCGCAAGGCUGAA
rnacentral:rRNA from 1 species